AUUGAACGCUGGCGGCAUGCCUUACACAUGCAAGUCGAACGGCAGCACGGGAGCAAUCCUGGUGGCGAGUGGCGAACGGGUGAGUAAUAUAUCGGAACGUGCCCAGUCGUGGGGAUAACGUAGCGAAAGCUACGCUAAUACCGCAUACGAUCUAUGGAUGAAAGCGGGGGAUCGCAAGACCUCGCGCGAUUGGAGCGGCCGAUAUCAGAUUAGGUAGUUGGUGAGGUAAAGGCUCACCAAGCCGACGAUCUGUAGCUGGUCUGAGAGGACGACCAGCCACACUGGGACUGAGACACGGCCCAGACUCCUACGGAGGCAGCAGUGGGGAAUUUUUGGGACAAAUGGGCGCAAGCCUGAUCCAGCAAUGCCGCGUGCAGGAUGAAGGCCUUCGGGUU
rnacentral:rRNA from 1 species